AGGGCUAGUUUAAUUAAACAUUUGAUUUCGGCUCAAAAAUUUGUGGUUAAAAUCCACAGCCAAUC
rnacentral:tRNA from 1 species